rnacentral:rRNA from 1 species
AACGGCCAUACCAUGCUGAAUAUAUCGGUUCUCGUUAGAUCACCGAAGUCAAGCAUCAUUGGGCGCGGUCAGUACUUGGAUGGGUGACCACCUGGGAACACCGCGUGCCGUU